rnacentral:lncRNA from 10 species
GGGCUCUGGCCACAGGCUGAGAGAGGAAGUGACUCCAAGGCUGAGGGGGGCCAAGGAAUGAGCCCAGGAAGUUGACCUUUGAAGCACUCUCCUGCUCUUGGGGCCAUGUCAUCAGGAAGAAACUCCAGGCUGAAAACACAACUGCAAGGCCAACAGGCAGGGGAGCAGCUUUCUCAGGACACCUGAGGUCCUGCCCCACCAGGCUCUGGUCUUUACACACCAUCUCUCACUGUCCUCUAGCCCCAACUGCACAUUGCCUUCCUCCUUCCUGAGCUCAUGCUUGCCCCUCCCUCGGCAUCUCCCUAGCCCCAGCCUGAAGGCUGACCUCCUCCAGAAAGCCUCUCCCUCACCACGAGGCCAGAAAGAGUCUGUCCUGUCUCUAGCUUCUGAGUUUCUUAGUCCCAACGACUGUCCCUGCUCCACUGACACCUUCCAUACACAGCUUUGUGAGCUGUGCGCAUCUGUGGGUACCAGAGGGUAAGUUCGAGGGCCAGCUGACGCCUACUGUCUCUACUGUCUCACAGAUCUGCAUUGGGUUUCCUUGGUCCCAAUCCCCCACAGACACACACACAUGUACACACUCACACACACAACGCUGGACCAAUAGAGAGAACUUUAUCAGUAAAAUGUAACUAUUUCAUUACACCAGAAGCUAU